AAUGAAGAACGUAGCGAAAUGCGAUACGUAGUGUGAAUUGCAGAAUUCAGUGAAUCAUCGAAUCUUUGAACGCACAUUGCACCUCUCGGUAUUCCGGGAGGUAUGCCUGUUCGAGCGUCAUUUGUACCCUCAAGCUCUGCUUGGUGUUGGGUGUUUGUUCCGCCUCUGUGUGUGAACUCGCCUCAAAACAAUUGGCAGCCGGCGUACUUGUUUCGGAGCGCAGCACAUUUUGCGAUCCAGAUCAACGUACAGCGGCAUCCAAGAAGCCUUAUUUAACGCUCUUGACCUCGGAUCAGGUAGGGAUACCCGCUGAACUUAAGCAUAUCAAUAAGCGGAGGA
rnacentral:misc_RNA from 1 species